GAUGCAGGGAAGGAAGAAUAUUCUCCAGUCUCUACUCAGAGACUGUCCAUCUUUAAGACUCUCAUCUUCCUUAAAUCUCCCCUGUCUUACUUUCUCUAUGUAAAACUGUAUUUCCAUUCUACUUCUCCACAGAAUUUUUUCUUGAUGUAAUAUAUUUUUAUGUUUGAAAGUUUUUAGUCAUUAGCUUUUCAUAAUUCUCUACAAUAAAAAGAUGUAUUUAUGCAUACAAAUUGACAUUUUAAAAAAUGU
rnacentral:lncRNA from 1 species